AGAGUUUGAUCAUGGCUCAGAUUGAACGCUGGCGGCAUGGCUAAAACAUGCAAGUCGAACGGACCCGCAAGGGUUAGUGGCGGAAGGGUCAGUAAUACGAUCGAAUGCACCCCGAGGUGGGGGAUAGGCAUGGGAAACUGUGCGUAAUACCCCAUGUGCACCACGGUGCAAAGAUUUAUCGCCUUGGGAACAGCGAUCGUCCUAUCAGGUAGUUGGCGGGGUAACGGCCCACCAAGCCUAAGACGGGUAGCGGGUGUGAGAGCACGGCCCGCGACAUCGGGACUGAGACACUGCCCGGACUCCUACGGGAGGCUGCAGUAACGAAUAUUCCGCAAUGCGCGAAAGCGUGACGGAGCAAUGCCGCGUGCAGGAUGAAGCGGUUUCGCCGUGUAAACUGCUGUCAGGGGUCGGAAACACUGAUCCGCCCCAGAGGAAGAGACGGCUAACCCUGUGCCAGCAGCCGCGGUAAGACAGGGGUCUCGAGCGUUAAUCGGAAUCACUGGGCUUAAAGGGUGCGUAGGCCGCCUCGUAAGUGCUUUGUGAAAGCCCCCGGCUCAACCGGGGAACUGCAGGGCAUACUGCGAGGCUUGAGGAAACUAGAGGCCGGUAGAACGAUAGGUGGAGCGGUGGAAUGCGUAGAUAUCUAUCGGAAUGCCGAAAGUGAAGACAGCCGGCUGGGGUUUUCCUGACGCUGAGGCACGAAAGCGUGGGGAGCAAACCGGAUUAGAUACCCUCGUAGUCC
rnacentral:rRNA from 1 species